rnacentral:rRNA from 1 species
UACGUAGGCAGCGAGCGUUGUUCGGAGUUACUGGGCAUAAAGGGUGCGUAGGCGGCUUGUUAAGUCAGGGGUGAAAGUUUUCGGCCCAACCGGAAAAUUGCCUUUGAUACUGGCGAGCUCGAGUGCGUGAGGGGUAACCGGAACGAGCAGUGUAGCGGUGAAAUGCGUAGAUAUUGCUCGGAAGGCCAACGGCGAAGGCAGGUUACUGGUACGCAACUGACGCUGAGGCACGAAAGCGUGGGGAGCAAACAGG